UACGAAGGGGGCUAGCGUUGUUCGGAAUUACUGGGCGUAAAGGGCGCGUAGGCGGCUUGGAUAGUCGGGGGUGAAAUGCCUGGGCUCAACCCAGGAAUUGCACUCGAAACUCCGAGGCUUGAGUGUGGGAGAGGUUGGUGGAAUUCCCAGUGUAGAGGUGAAAUUCGUAGAUAUUGGGAAGAACACCGGUGGCGAAGGCGGCCAACUGGACCACAACUGACGCUGAGGCGCGAAAGCGUGGGGAGCAAACAGG
rnacentral:rRNA from 1 species